GGAAGUAGUCAGGGUAAUCGCGAAAAGUGAGACUUUGAAAAAAGCCCCGUUUUUUGAGGAAAGUCCGGGCUCCACAGGGCAGGUCGCCGGAUAACGUCCGGUGCAGGUGACUGUGAGGAUAGUGCCACAGAAAUGUUAACCGCCUAUGUAAAGCUUACGCUUUGCAGGCAAGGGUGCAACGGUGGUGUAAGAGACCACCAGCAACAUCGAGAGGUGUUGGCUAGGUAAACCCCGACCGGAGCAAGGUUAAAAUGGGAAUUAAGGCUGCCCGCCAUUCCCGGGUAAACCGCUCGAGGUGUUUAGAAAUAAACAUCCCAGAUAGAUGAUUAUCACGAUAUCUAUGGAUAUCGACAGAACCCGGCUUAUAGACUACUUCCAAUA
rnacentral:RNase_P_RNA from 2 species